GCUACACUCAGGCUGCAACAGCCACAGUCCCAGUGCUCUGAAGUGUAUCUCAGACCUUAAAGGGUAUUAGACAGCCUUCCGUGGGCCUGAGUGUUACAGGAUUUCUUUUCGCCCAUAUUGUGUGGCUUUAU